rnacentral:rRNA from 1 species
CGGGAUUGUGAUUAGUUUCCUUUAUUGGAAGUDUGUCACGAGAACUUGUCUAAACCUUAUCAUUUAGAGGAAGGUGAAGUCGUAACAAGGUUUCCGUAGGUGAACCUGCGGAAGGAUCA